rnacentral:lncRNA from 1 species
UGAUCAACAAGGGAUCUCUAAUCCUCGUUAUGAGAGGAUGAAUACUCUAAGAUAUGAUUCAGGAAUCUUCGGCCAAAGUAUCGAGCGUAAUAAUGGAAAUCGUUCCUAUAACGACUCAAUAGAAUCAUAUAACUUGAUAUAAUCAUAUUAGGGGUUUGACAUUAAAUAUCCAUACCCUAGUAAUGUGAUUGUGAGUAUUGUAUUAGAGAAUGAUCGAAUUAUAUUGUAAUUCCAACUGAAUAGGUUCUCUGAACAAAUUCUACAUUAGCUUGGGUAGCCAUGAUAUAUGGUUAGAUGUCACUCAUGGCUUGUGAGUUCUUCUAUAUGAUUAAAUAAGUAUUCAUCAAAGAAGAAGGAGAAUUAAAAGUAAGUUUUAAUUCACUAAGUGAUUGGAUAAAUAAUAAUCAAUUGGAUUGAUACCAAUCACCUCACUGCCUUGCUAAUUAGAACCUAAAAUGAUUGUACAUCGAAACACUCUUGUGGUGAGACAACUAAGGAUGAUGGAAUUAAUUAAUUGGAUUAAUUAAGUGUUAUGAUUAAUUAGAAAGUCUAAAGAAAUCAUAUAAACGAUAAAAGAUCGUUUAGGACUUAAAGAAAAGUUCGGGUUCAUUCUGGCCCAUUGGGCCCAAAGCCCAAACAACACAAAGGGGGCCGGCCAAAGAGAGAGAGAGAGAGAGAGAGAGAGUCAAGUUGUUCACUCACUUCUUUGACAUUUAUAUAGAAAGUUUAAUGAAAAAGUUUCAUUAGGGUUUUGUGUGUUCUUUUUCACAAAAGAGAAAAACAAGUCUCUCUCUCUCUCUACACACUUAUAGCCGGCCACCAAGAGGAGGGAAAGCUAAUCAUCUCUCCUCCUUUUGGUUAUUCCAUUAUCCAUCUCACUACACUAGUGGGUGUGGAUCUUUAGAGGUCUUCUACUUUGGAGACUAAAGGAGAAAGAAGCUCUAAAUCUUUCAAGGUGGAGGAAGCUAGGAGGGAGGCUAGACUCAAGGAGUUCCAAGAACAAAGAGCUUGGAGGUGGUCCAUCCUUGGUCUCAAGUCUAGAUCAAGAGGUAUAAAACUAAACCUUCACUUUGUUCUUCAAUAUUUUCUUAGAUGCAUCAUAUAUAAACCUAUGCUUCUUGAAGGGGAUUUGCAUGACUAUAGCUUUGAUAUUAUGUGAUAACAUGCUUCCGUUGCAAAUGUAUAUAAAUUUUGAAUUGUAUAUGCAUGCUAGUCACUAGAAAUCCCAAAUAAAUCUAAUUAUUUCCCUUCACAAUCAACAUAUUUUCUGUCCAUGUUGUGUAUGAAUGUUGUCUCUCUGUUCUUUGCAUGUGUGUGUGUUGUUUUCUAUCUUUAUUUCCACAUGUACCAGCUAUUACACUUGCACACACAUAUGUUCUUCAUUAUUUCAGCUAGCAAUCAACAUAUUUUCUGCCCAUGCCGUGUAUGAAUGUUUGUAGUUGUACGUCAACACUUGCACACACACACACAUGCUGAUUUCUAGCCUUCUAAUCUUCAAAAAUGUCCAUCCUCAUGUCUCCAUGCUUGCACUAUCCAAUCUUGGCCCAAAAAUGCUCCAAAAUGCUCCAAAUAGCACUUUCUUGCCAACUUUGUUAUUGGAACCUACAAACACACGAAAAUAGCUUAAAGUACUAAAAUAACUAGAAUUAAACUAAGUAAAUGCCAAGAAACAAGCUAACUAAGUUGCAUAAAUAUGCUCCUAUCAUAAUGCCUUCCUGUCAAAAAAACUGGUUCUUCCUCUAUCAAAACAUCUUCUAAACCACUUUACCUUUAUACUAUGCUACAUGUUCCAGAUUUAACUGCUAGUCUUAUUUCAGUUUAUACUCUAUGCAAGGACAAUAACUGUUAUGUGAUUCUGGAUGAAUUUGGAUUUUGGGUGCAGGACAAGGCAACAAAGACAAUUCUCAUGAGAGGAAGGAGUAGUGGGGGAUUAUACCAUAUACCACAAAAGCUCUUUUUCAACUACAAUCAGCUAAUAAAGUCUUCACCAAAGGCAUUGCUUGGUCAGCUUGUGCGAGCAUCCUUAUGGCAUCAUAGGUUAGGGCAUCCUACCAAUGAAGUACUCCAUAGUAUGUUGUCCAGUUCUCAAAUCACAUAUAAGCCUGAUAUAAAUAAACAUGUAUGUAGUCACUGUCUUAGAGGAAAGAUGUCUAGACAAGUUUUUGACUCUAGAACUGUGAGGUCUGUACAACCUUUUGAAAGAAUAAGUAGCGAAGUAUGGGGUCCAUCUUCAGUUGUAUCAAUUGAAGGUUACAAGUACUAUGUGAGCUUUAUUGAUGAAUGUACAAAAUUUACAUGAAUAUUCCCAUUAAUAUACAAGUCUCAAGUUCUGCACAUGUUUGAGAAGUUUUAUGCUUUUAUUCAGAAUCACUUUCAAGCUGUUCCUAAGUUUUUUCAAUCAGAUGGAGGUGGUGAAUAUAUGAGUCUUGCUUUUAAGAGAUUUCUGGAAUCAAAAGGUGUUGUGCAUUUGGUUUCCUGCCCAUAUACUCCCCAGCAAAAUGGAACUGCAGAAAGGAAGCAUAGACAUAUUUUAGAAACUGCAAUAACCAUGUUGUCCACAACUCACUUACCCCAUAAUUUUUGGUUCCAUGCAUGUAUUCAUGCGGUUUUUCUUAUCAACAGAAUGCCUUGUCAGUCAUUAGGAUUGCAGUCUCCAUUUUUUAAGCUAUUUGGAGUUCAACCAAUGUUAUCUUCCUUAAAAGUAUUUGGGACAUCUGUUUACCCCUAUCUUAGACCAUAUAAUUCCUCAAAGUUAGAUGCUAAGAGAGAUCAAUGUGUAUUUUUGGGAUAUUCACUGGGAUACAAAGGGGUCAUUUGUUAUCAUAGAGCUCUGAAAAAAUUGUUGAUAUCCAGACAUGUGAUUCACGAUGAACAAACCUUUCCUUUUCAUCACAGUGAGAUUAAGUUUCAGUCUUCAAAAGAUACUGGGCACAGAUUUGGCACAUAUCCAAUUCUUGUUCCUUAUGUUCUUCCUUCUAUAAAUAGUGACAACAGUUCAUCGCAAUCUGGACCAAGAUCUCAGUCAGUUCAUAUAGUGGAUCCAAUGAGUUCUCAUGAUGAUGUUAUGUUAGAUCAGUCAGUUCCAGUGGCUUCAAAUUCAUCCCAGGAUUGUUCCACAUCUCAGAAUCAAGAAAUGUCUUCCAAUACUCAGCACCAGGUUGCUUCCCCUCACACUACUCCCCUCUCUACAUCAACUUACAAUUCUUUGUUGCCUAUCCAGAGUUCAACCCAAUUAGAGGUAACUCCUUUCCUCAAUCCACAUAAUGAUUCAAAUUCAAUUCUCUUAUGCAAACUAGAUUGAAAUCUGGUGUUAUUCAGAGACAAGACUAUAGUGCUUACUUUGCUUAUGACUCAAUUACUACUAUUGAUUGUGAUCAUGCUCAUAAAGAUCUAUCCUUUUGUGGUUAUACUGCUCUUCUAAGUAUUACUGAGUCUUCUGAACCCACAUCUUACAAAGCUGUUGUUACUUGUGAAAAUUGGAGAAAUGCCAUGGUUGAAGAGUUCACAGCUUUACAGAAACAAGGAACCUGGGAGUUGGUUCAUCCACCUUUAAAUAGAAAUGUCAUAGGCAGCAAGUGGGUUUAUAAGGUGAAAAGAGAUCAGUUUGGCAAAAUGUCCUGGUAUAAAGCUCGGUUAGUGGCUCAAGGGUUCAGUUAAGAACCAAGCCUGGAUUAUGAAGAAACAUUUAGUCCUGUUGUGAGACACAGCACAGUUAGAAUUGUUUUAGCUCUUGCAGCAUCAAACAAAUGGUCUCUAAGGCAGCUUGAUGUGAAGAAUGCAUUUCUUCACGGCGAUUUACAGGAAGAAGUAUUCAUGACACAACCACAGGGUUUUCAAGACCCUGAGCAUCCAGAGUAUGUGUGCAAACUGCUAAAGUCUCUAUAUGGUCUCAAACGGGCUCCUCAGGCCUGGAAUUCAAAAUUUACAACUUAUUUGCCAACUUUGGGAUUUCAGGUUUCAGAAUCAGAUCCAAGUUUAUUCAUUAAGGUUCAUAAUCCUGAUGUGGUUAUCCUUUUGCUCUAUGUCGAUGACAUAAUAAUCACUGGGUCAAGUCAUCCUUUGGUUCAACAAGUUAUCACAGAUCUAGGAGAUGUCUUUGAUAUGAAGGACAUGGGGCCACUUACAUUUUUUUUUGGGAUUGGAGAUUACAUAUCGAAAGAAUGGUGAUUUGUUUAUUUCCCAAAAAAAGUAUGUCAAAGAUCUGUUAAAGAAGGAAGGUAUGGAGUCUUGUAAACCAUGUCCAACUCCCUGCAAACCACAUACACAACUUCUUAAAGAUGAAGGUGUUCCAUUGCCAGAUCCUAAGUUGUUUCGAAGUUUGGUAGGAGCCUUGCAGUAUUUGACAUUUACACGUCCUGAUAUUGCGUUUGUUGUGAAUUAUGCAUGUCAGUUUAUGGCAACACCUACUGAUGAACAUUUUCAAUUAGUCAAAAGGAUACUUCGAUACUUACAAGGAACAAUGUCAUAUGGUCUCACAUAUUCCGACGCAGAACAUAUGAGAAUCACUACAUUCAGUGAUGCAGAUUGGGCAUUUGACAUUAAUACAAGGCGAUCAACCACUGGAUAUGUGGUGUUUUUAGGACAAAAUCCCAUUUCGUGGCAGUCUAAGAAACAAGGAGGUGUUUCCCGUAGCUCAACAGAAGCUGAAUACAAAGCGCUUGUCAAUACUGCUGCAGAUAUUGCUUGGGUGAGACUUAUAUUGAACGAUUUGAAGGUCUAUCUCCCUGAUCCUCCUCUCUUAUAUUGUGAUAAUAUAUCCACCUUAGCCUUAUGUUCAAAUCCAGUAUUUGAUAGACGCAUAUUUAUGCAACUUAGUUAACUAGUUUUCUUGCAUUUACGUUAUUAGUUCUUAGUUAUUUUAGUACUUUAAGCCAUUUUCGUGUGUUUGUAGGUCCAAAGGGCUAAGGUAGCAAGAAAGUGCAUUUUGGUGCAUUUUGGAGCAGUUUUGAGCUUGUAAUGGAUUACAUAUGAUAUGAGCAAGAUGGAUGGACGAAUUUGAAGACAAAAGAGGCUAGGAACAUGCUAAAAAUCUGGUGAAACAAAUACAAGUUGCAAGAAGGGAUAAAUUUCUAGAAGGAUUGGCCAAAACUUCACUCAAAACCAUGCAUACCCCAUAAAAUUCAUCAAUGUCGUGGCCUUCCCUUUGUUUUACUUCCACCAGAUUUUUUUAGUGAUGAUGCAAUGCCUAUCUCACUAUGACAUUUGAGUGGAUGAUGUAAUGCUUAACUCACCAUGACAUUUGAGUGGAUGAUGCAAUGCUUAACUCACCAUGACAUGUGAGUGGAUGACUCAAAACCUACCCUCACCAACAAUUCUCCACCUUGCCAUGCCUUACCUACUUCAUUCCACCAGAUUUUUGCAUUAAACAUGUCCAUCCUCUCCCUAUAAAUACCAUGCAGCAACCUCAUUGAAUUCAUCCAGAAAUUAACCAUUCUCCAAGCCUUUCCUUGCCUCUCCUACAUAUCUAAACCCCUUCCCAUCCAUUCCUCCAAAUAACCAACCCUUCAACAUCAUUCCAACCUUGUUGUUGCGGCAAAGAGAAGGAGAAAAGUCCUUAGACGCACUUGCUAUCCAACAUGGAUCGUUGGAACGUUUAGGUGCUUUCUUUCCUUUGUUUUUCAAUGUUUAAAUUUGUUUAUCUUUGUUUUGUAAUAAUGAGGAACUAAACCCCCCUUGGCUAGGGGGGGAUUCGAAACCAUGUUAAUGCUUGCAAUAUGAUUUGAUUACUUUUAACUGCGUUUCAUAAGUUAUGAAUUCGAUUUACUUAUCUAUUUGAUUGAUAACAUGUUUAUGUAUGUUGAUUAGGGAUGCAUACUUAGUUUGCAUGCAUAAAUAUGAUGCAAGAGUAUAAGGGAAUUUCACCUAAUCGUUAUGAACUUAUAUUCAUGAGUAGUAAAAGUCGCUAGUCACGAUUGUGUUAAGUAAAUCCUUGGCAUAAGUUUCAUGCAAAUCAUAGUAACGAGUGCCUCGUCAAUGCUUAUGUUUUUCAUAGAACUUAAUGAUUCUUGCUUGUAUCUCUAUUUAUGCAAUUCAUGUAGGGAACUUGUAAGGAAUGUUUUGGGUUGUCGUAUGCAAUCAUCCAACCCAAUAACUUAUGGAAAAACUGAGGGUUAAUUAGUGCAAUUCACGGUUAAUUUGGGGCGUUGAGAAUUAAUAAGUUAUUGAAAUGCAAUUGGAAAUCAUUUUGUAUGCAAGCAAGACAUGUGUGGAGAAGAACCCCUUAGCUAGCCUUCCAUUAUCCAUUCAACCCAAAUUUGUUUAAAAUCUAUUUAAGUUUUUAGUUUAUUCGUUUUUACUUUCAACUUCACCAAACUCAAAUCCCCCUUUUACUUUCUUGUUUUAAAAUCUUUUGUUUACAUUUUUAACUUUGUUUUUAUGUUUUUAAAUUAGUUUUCAAGUGAUUUAGCAAUCCCUCCUAAUCCCCGGCCUAGAACGAUACCCUACUUACAUCUAUACUACAAUUGUCAAAAAGAGGGUUUAAUUUGUGUGCUUAUAUAUUUCGCAUCAAAUUUUGGCGCCGUUGCCGGGGAUUAGCAACUUUGCUAAUCCCUUUAUUGUUUCUUUUUAUUUCUUUUUUUUGUGUGUUUUAAUUUUAGUUUUAAUUUUAUUUGAUUUUGUUUAUUUUAGGUACUAGUUUAUGACUCGUAGUUCUCAACCAGUUCGUGCACAUAUAUCGGAGUUUGACAACAAUUUUGAACGAACUUUGAGAAGGAAAAGGAAAGUACCAGAACCUAGUCCACCUAGUUCUAGUUCUGAAUCCGAAUUUGAAGAAAAGGAGGAGACAGAAAAAGACAUGGAAGUGGACAAUCGAACAAUCAAAGAACUUUCAGCCUCGGGAUUGGACAAUGUUGCGCCUCUAUGCAUCCAAUACCCCGCAGCAGCCCAAGGAAAGACAGAAGAAUUUGAAUUGAAGUCAAGCUUGUUACACCACAUUCCGAAGUACCAUGGGUUGUCCAUGGAAGAUCCUAACAAACACUUGAAAGAAUUUGAGGUGGUGUGUUCGAGCAUGACCCCCGUCAAUGUCGAUGGGAGUAUUUUGAAGAUGAAAGCCUUCCCUUUUUCUCUCUUGGAAAAGGCGAAGGAUUGGUUGUACGAAUUGGCGCCCGGAACCGUCACAUCAUGGGAAAGCAUGAAACGGGCCUUCUUGGAGAAGUUUUUCCCAACUUCUCGAGUCAUCCUCCUACGGAAAAGGAUAAGUGGAAUUCAACAAGAGGAAGGUGAAUCUUUUCCUACUUAUUAUGAACGUUUUAAAUCUCUUGUUGCUUCUUGUCCACAACAUCAGAUGAAGGAGGAACUUCUUUUGCAAUACUUCUACGAGGGGCUACUACCUAUCGAACGUCAAAUGCUAGAUGCCUCGGCGGGAGGAGCCUUGGUGGACAAGACCCCCACGGCAGCAAAGACUUUAAUUUCCAACCGUGCGUUGAAUGCUCAACAAUACGAAGGCGUUGGACAAAGGAGUAACCCACGACCACAUCAAGUCAAUGAGGUAAGUGCCAUAACCGAACUUCAAAAUCAAAUGGCUAACCUUACUACUUUUGCUUUCUCAGGUAGUGGAAGGUCCAAAAGUGCAAAACGUGGCAGCUUGUGGCGUGUGUUCCAUGCAAGGCCACCUUACGGACAAGUGCCCACAGUUGAUAGAAAAUGGAGGGUGGGAGACCCUCAAUGCCGUGGGAUUUGGCAACCAAUACCAACCAAGGAAUGACCCCUUUUCCAAUACUUACAAUCCCGGUUGGCGUGAUCAUCCAAAUUUCAAAUGGCGAGAACCCCAACAAGGCCAACAACAAAGCGGAUUUAGGCAACAACCCCCGGGUUUCUAUCAAAAGCCAUUUGCACCAACUCAACCCCAAGCACAACCUGCCCAAAAAUCAGGUUCGUCUAUUGAUAAUGAUCAAAUUUUUAAUUUACUAACUUCUAUGGCGCAGGGAAUGCAAAAUAGGGACAAAAAGGUGGACGAGUUGGAGAAACAAGUAGGGCAAAUUGCCGAGUUCAUGGGGCAGUUUCGAGAGCAAGGCAGGUUGCCUAGCUCAACCAUUGCAAAUCCAAAAGGAGGCUUUGAAUCUGCCAAGGCAAUCAUGUUAAGAAGCGGGAAACAAGUUGGAACAGCCCCACCACCAUCCAAAUCAGCCCCAAACAAGGUGGAGGAAGUGAUAAUUGAAGAGGAGGAACAAGGGUUGGCCACGGCAAGGAAAGAGGUUCCUUUGCAGCAAGUCUCCAUGGCUCCUAAGCCAUCCAAUCUGCCAAAUAAAGGUACAACCGUGUCCAAUUCCAUUCCUACUAAUGAUUUUCCUUUGAAUGUCCCCUUUCCUAGUAGGUUCAAGCAAACAAAGAAAGAAGAAGCUGAAAAGGACAUUCUAGAGACGUUCCGGAAAGUGCAAGUCAAUAUACCUCUCCUUGACGCAAUUAAGCAAGUACCUAGGUACGCCAAGUUUUUGAAGGAACUAUGUACAACAAGAAAGAGAAUUUCAAACAAAGAGGUUGUCCAGGUAAGUGAGAAUGUUUCCGCUGUUUUGCAAAGAAAAUUACCUCCUAAAUGCAAAGAUCCGGGAAGUUUUACAAUUCCAUGUGUUAUUGGCAAUACUAAAUUUGAACAUGCUAUGUUAGAUCUAGGAGCCUCAAUUAACGUCAUGCCAUACUCAAUUUAUGCAUCAAUGAACUUAGGAGAACUUAAAAACGAUGGUGUUAUAAUUCAAUUAGCCGAUCGUUCUAAUGCAUAUCCGAAAGGAGUUUUGGAGGAUGUAUUGGUGCAGGUGGAUAACUUGAUAUUUCCAGCGGAUUUCUACGUUUUAGAGAUGGAGGACUCACCAAAUGUCACCCAAUUGCCAAUUCUACUUGGGAGGCCAUUCAUGAAAACAGCACGCACCAAGAUCGAUGUGUUCAAAGGGACGUUGACAAUGGAAUUUGAUGGGGAGAUUAUUAACUUUAACAUUUCUGAAGCUAUGAAAUUUCCUAAAGAUGAUCAUUCCUGUUUUUCUAUUGAUAUAUUGGAUGAAUUGGCGCAGGAUUAUCUUGAUAUGUUGGAAGACGACCCACUCGAAACGACAAUUGCACAAGGAUUUGGCACAAAACCCAACAUGGCCGUACCAAAUGAUGAACAUGCCGAGCUUGUGGCUGCCUUGGAAUCAUUGCCAAAACAUCAUGGUAAGCCGUCUAACCCAAUUCCAAUUCCCGUUUCCACUAAUACGUUGUUACCUUCUGUGAUUCAGGCCCCCGUUCUUGAGCUUAAACCGUUGCCGGAUCAUUUAAAGUAUGCAUUCUUGGGAGAGGAAGAGACGUUGCCCAUCAUUGUCUCUUCAUCACUCACGGCAUUAGAGGAAGAAAAGUUGAUUCGGGUGUUGAAAGAGCACAAAACAGCCAUCGGAUGGACAUUGGCCGAUAUUAAGGGAAUUAGCCCUACAACGUGCAUGCAUCGCAUCUUUCUAGAGGAGGGGGCUAAACCAACUCGAGAGGCUCAACGCCGACUCAACCCUCCAAUGAUGGAAGUCGUGAAAAAGGAGAUUAUAAAGCUUCUCGAUUGUGGGGUGAUUUAUCCAAUUUCAGAUAGCCGUUGGGUCUCACCGGUUCAAGUGGUCCCAAAGAAGUCCGGAGUCACUGUGGUGAAGAAUGCCGAGGACGAGCUUGUGCCAACCCGUAUUCAAACAGGUUGGAGAGUAUGCAUUGACUAUAGGAAGCUCAACAACACCACAAGGAAGGACCACUUUCCACUACCAUUCAUCGAUCAAAUGCUAGAAAGGUUAGCCGGUCAUUCUUUUUAUUGUUUUCUUGACGGUUAUUCGGGAUAUAAUCAAAUUGUCAUAGCUCCGGAAGACCAAGAAAAGACCACCUUCACGUGCCCAUUUGGUACUUUUGCUUACCGCCGCAUGCCAUUCGGUUUAUGCAAUGCACCGGCCACGUUCCAACGAUGCAUGGUAAGUAUUUUUUCAGAUUUUAUUGAGAAGAUUAUUGAGGUAUUCAUGGAUGAUUUUAGUGUCUUUGGCGAUUCGUUUGAUGGUUGCUUGGAAAAUCUCACAUUAAUCUUAAAACGAUGCAUGGAAACUAACCUCGUUUUUAAAUUGGGAAAAGUGUCACUUUAUGGUAAAACAAGGCAUAGUUUUAGGGCAUAUUAUCUCUGAAAACGGCAUUGAGGUGGAUAAAUCCAAAAUAGAUCUAGUACGUCACUUACCCUCUCCGACUUCGGUUAGAGAGGUUCGUUCGUUUCUUGGUCAUGCAGGAUUUUUAUCGUAGGUUUAUCAAAGAUUUUUCGAAGAUAGCACAACCUCUUUGCCGUCUCCUACAAAAAGAAGUGGCGUUUGAAUUCACCAAGGAGUGCACGGCAUCAUUCAAUCAACUCAAGGAGUUGUUAACCACGGCACCCAUCAUUGUUCCACCAGAUUGGAGCCUACCUUUCGAGCUUAUGUGCGAUGCAUCCGACUACGCUUUAGGGGCUGUUUUGGGACAAAGGAAGGACAAAAAGCCACACGUCAUUUACUAUGCCUCACGGACGUUGAAUGAUGCACAAUUGAACUAUUCCACUACAGAAAAAGAACUUCUUGCCGUUGUUUUUGCUUUAGAUAAGUUUAGAUCAUAUCUAAUUGGUACUAAAGUAAUUGUUUUCACUGACCAUGCAGCAUUAAAGUACUUGCUCACCAAAAAGGAGGCCAAGCCACGGUUAAUUCGGUGGAUGUUGCUACUUCAAGAGUUCGACAUAGAGAUUCGUGACAAGAAGGGAAGUGAGAACGUAGUGGCUGACCACUUGAGCCGAAUGGUGCAUAAUGAGGAGGCUUUGCCGAUUUUGGAGACAUUCCCCGAUGAACAAUUGAUGUCCAUAAAGGUUAGUGAGCCUUGGUAUGCUGAUUUGGUGAACUUUUUGGUGACAAAACGAAUUCCAAGCACUUACACUAGGCACCAACGUGAUAAACUUAGGCAUGAUGCACGGUUUUAUGUGUGGGAUGAUCCAUAUUUGUGGAAAUUUUGCCCGGAUCAAAUUGUUCGUCGUUGUGUGCAUGAUUCUGAAUGUCGUUCAAUUUUAAGUUUUUGUCACACAUAUGCAUGUGGUGGGCACUUUGGCACACAAAGAACUGCCCUUAAGGUAUUACAAUGUGGAUUUUAUUGGCCUAGUAUUUUUAAGGAUGCUAGAACUUUUUGCUUAACAUGUGAUAAAUGCCAACGAAUGGGUAACAUUGGUGCUAGGGACCAAAUGCCGCAGGUUUCUAUCCUAAAUGUUGAAAUUUUCGAUGUUUGGGGUAUUGAUUUUAUGGGUCCCUUUCCUUCUUCAUAUGGUUUUAUAUAUAUUUUGCUUGCGGUUGAUUAUGUGUCAAAGUGGGUGGAAGCAAAGGCCACCCGGACUAAUGAUUCUAAAGUGGUUGCAGAUUUUAUUAGAACUAACAUUUUUGCAAGGUUUGGCAUGCCACGAGUGAUCAUUAGUGAUGGAGGGUCACACUUUUGCAACCGGACCAUUGAGGCGUUAUUGAGGAAAUACAAUGUCAAUCAUAAGGUUUCUACGCCUUAUCAUCCUCAAACUAAUGGCCAAGUCGAGGUUUCCAACCGUGAGAUCAAGCAAAUCCUAGAGAAGACCGUUGGGCCAACGAGGAAGGAUUGGAGUUUACGGUUAGAUGAUGCACUUUGGGCGUAUCGUACGGCGUACAAGACACCCAUUGGAAUGUCCCCUUUUCAACUUGUCUAUGGCAAACCGUGCCAUCUCCCCGUUGAGUUGGAGCACAAAGCUCAUUGGGCCGUCAAGAAGUUUAACAUGAACCUCGAUGAAGCGGGGAGUCACCGGAAGUUCCAAUUGAAUGAGCUUGAUGAGAUACGGCACGAGGCAUACGAGAACGCAAGCAUUUACAAGGAAAAGACCAAGGCGUUCCAUGAUAAGAUGAUUAGGGGCAAAACGUUCGCAAUUGGGCAGAAAGUGCUAUUGUUCAAUUCCCGUUUACGUUUGUUUCCCGGUAAGUUACGUUCCAAGUGGAUUGGACCUUUUGUUAUUACUAAUGUUUUUGUUCAUGGUGCAGUCCAAAUCCAAAGCUUGAAAACGGGACACGAAUUCAAGGUGAACGGGCAUCGUUUGAAGCCGUACUACGAGAACUUUGAGGAGCAUACCGUGGAUGACAUUCCCUUGCAUGCCGUGGACUCCAUUGAGGAGUGAAUGGGUUCUUCGUCCGGCUGUACGACGUUAAAGCAAGCGCUACUUGGGAGGCAACCCAUGCAUGCAACAAAGGAAGACCUAGAGAGCACUCCAAAUUCCAGAUUUGCGUUCCUAAACCCUUCCCUUUGUUGUUGUUUUCAUUUAUGCCAUGUUAAAUUGCUUAGUUGCUGUUUUGUUUGUUUGUUUGUUAUGUGUUAGUAUAUGCUUGAAACAUUGAGGACAAUGUUUGAUUUAAGUGUGGGGGGGUAACCAAAGUGUUUUGAUGCAAAUUCGUAGGGUUUUCUCACUCAUAAUUUCUAAUGUUGUUUUUCACUGUUUUUAGGCUGUUUUGGUGAGUUUUAGUGUGUGCUGACUUAUAACUCCGAAAAUCACAUAAAAAUUUGAAAAAUUGCUUUGCAAAACCCAAAAAGAGUUGUUUUUUGUGUGUUUGUUUGUGUCUUAGGGUACCUUCCAACACAAUGAUGAGGAUUUGGUUUGUAAUUUCAUGGCUGUUAAAGAGAGUGAUUAACAUGGAUGAAAGUUUGAUUUACUCUUUGUUUAUGCUUGGUUGUGGUUAUAACUUAUGAAUUUACAUGCAAUCUUAAAGGAAAAAUCAGUUUUUGUAACAUGCUUGAAGGAAAGAACUCAAACUAACGCUACAACCUUGUGAGACUUGAGCCUAAACGUUUAUUUGGAGAGUUAAUAAUCUGUGAUUUAUUGUUUUCUAAGUCGUUGCAUGAUCUCAUUAUUCUUUGCUUGGUUACUACUUAGAAGGCGUUUCAUCAUUUAGUUCCAAAUGCUAGAACUCAUACCCAUUUCAUUCAAAACAUGUCAUUGAUUUGCAUAACACAUAUUCAAGAUAAAGUUGUGUAGUGACCACCACCAUAACCAAAAAGCCGUGAAUCCCCUAUGUCAUUAUGUUUUGUACGUUUUAAUCCCGUUGAGCUUUGUGAGCCUUUUCUUUGUAACCCACAUUACCCUCACCUAGCUUAGAUUAGGACCAUCCAUUAACCUUGUUCUUAAAGCGUAGUAAAGCAUGAUUCAAAUUGAAUUCCUUUGUGGCAGAAAACAAGUGUGGGGGAAGUGUUUUUCAUAAGGAAUUAUGUGCCAUAGGCACGGGUAAAAAGAAAGAAAAAAGAAAAGAAAAAUGUGAAAAGAAUGCGAAAAGAGUUGAAAAGAAGUGAAAAAGAGUUCUAAAGUGUUGUUUGAUGAAGAAGGGGUCCAAAACAAUGAAUUCGACCCUAAGGAGUUGUUUAAAUCUUCCCCUUGUGUUUUAAAGCUAAUUUCUGCAAUCUAAGUAAAUUCUAAAUCUCAAUUUCAUUACUUUGCUUACUUUCACUUUAAGAACGUUUGUUUUCCUUAUCCUUUCUUUGUUAGCCAAUACCCCAAGCCCCGUUACAACCCUUGACUUCUAUCUUGAGUGUUAUGUGUUUCAAUUUGUGGAGAUUGAACUUGGUAUGAGCAUAUGGUCACUGGUUCUCGCAUCUAAGUAGUAGCAUUCCAUUCAUGAGAUCAUAUCUCAACAUGCUUAUUAACUCUAGAAAUUGUGUUCUUUGUUAUACAUAUAUGUGAGCAUUCGUUUCUAUAUCUACAUCAAUUCUCUCACAUAUAACUAGUAUAGGGUGUGUAGUUAGAAAAUCUGAGUGAAAAUAGAGUGCGUAUCUUGUAAGGAUUGAGGGAAUUCUCUAAGGCAUGUUACUACAUUCAAAACAUUGUUUUAAUUGGUUAAUUGUGAAUUAGUAAGUAGUGACUAUGAUUAAGUAUGUGCUUAAGUGUUAAAUUGACUCAAUUCUGUGGGAAUGAUAAUCUUUAACAUGUCAUGUGCAUUGGAAAUCCCUAAGGCAAAUGUUGGAAGGUUAGGUUAUGUUUUAUUUGUUUUAUUUUGCUCGAGGACUAGCAAUAGCUCAGUGUGGGGGAAUUUGAUAGACGCAUAUUUAUGCGACUUAGUUAACUAGUUUUCUUGCAUUUACGUUAUUAGUUCUUAGUUAUUUUAGUACUUUAAGCCAUUUUCGUGUGUUUGUAGGUCCAAAGGGCUAAGGUAGCAAGAAAGUGCAUUUUGGUGCAUUUUGGAGCAGUUUUGAGCUUGUAAUGGAUUACAUAUGAUAUGAGCAAGAUGGAUGGACGAAUUUGAAGACAAAAGAGGCUAGGAACAUGCUAAAAAUCUGGUGAAACAAAUACAAGUUGCAAGAAGGGAUAAAUUUCUAGAAGGAUUGGCCAAAACUUCACUCAAAACCAUGCAUACCCCAUAAAAUUCAUCAAUGCCGUGGCCUUCCCUUUGUUUUACUUCCACCAGAUUUUUUUAGUGAUGAUGCAAUGCCUAUCUCACUAUGACAUUUGAGUGGAUGAUGUAAUGCUUAACUCACCAUGACAUUUGAGUGGAUGAUGCAAUGCUUAACUCACCAUGACAUGUGAGUGGAUGACUCAAAACCUACCCUCACCAACAAUUCUCCACCUUGCCAUGCCUUACCUACUUCAUUCCACCAGAUUUUUUGCAUUAAACAUGUCCAUCCUCUCCCUAUAAAUACCAUGCAGCAACCUCAUUGAAUUCAUCCAGAAAUUAACCAUUCUCCAAGCCUUUCCUUGCCUCUCCUACAUAUCUAAACCCAUUCCCAUCCAUUCCUCCAAAUAACCAACCCUUCAACAUCAUUCCAACCUUGUUGUUGCGGCAAAGAGAAGGAGAAAAGUCCUUAGAUGCACUUGCUAUCCAACAUGGAUCGUUGGAACGUUUAGGUGCUUUCUUUCCUUUGUUUUUCAAUGUUUAAAUUUGUUUAUCUUUGUUUUGUAAUAAUGAGGAACUAAACCCCCCUUGGCUAGGGGGGGAUUCGAAACCAUGUUAAUGCUUGCAAUAUGAUUUGAUUACUUUUAACUGCGUUUCAUAAGUUAUGAAUUCGAUUUACUUAUCUAUUUGAUUGAUAACAUGUUUAUGUAUGUUGAUUAGGGAUGCAUACUUAGUUUGCAUGCAUAAAUAUGAUGCAAGAGUAUAAGGGAAUUUCACCUAAUCGUUAUGAACUUAUAUUCAUGAGUAGUAAAAGUCGCUAGUCACGAUUGUGUUAAGUAAAUCCUUGGCAUAAGUUUCAUGCAAAUCAUAGUAACGAGUGCCUCGUCAAUGCUUAUGUUUUUCAUAGAACUUAAUGAUUCUUGCUUGUAUCUCUAUUAUGCAAUUCAUGUAGGGAACUUGUAGGGAAUGUUUUGGGUUGUCGUAUGCAAUCAUCCAACCCAAUAACUUAUGGAAAAACUGAGGGUUAAUUAGUGCAAUUCACGGUUAAUUUGGGGCAUUGAGAAUUAAUAAGUUAUUGAAAUGCAAUUGGAAAUCAUUUUGUAUGCAAGCAAGACAUGUGUGGAGAAGAACCCCUUAGCUAGCCUUCCAUUAUCCAUUCAACCCAAAUUUGUUUAAAAUCUAUUUAAGUUUUUAGUUUAUUCGUUUUACUUUCAACUUCACCAAACUCAAAUCCCCCUUUUACUUUCUUGUUUUAAAAUCUUUUGUUUACAUUUUUAACUUUGUUUUUAUGUUUUUAAAUUAGUUUUCAAGUGAUUUAGCAAUCCCUCCUAAUCCCCGGCCUAGAACGAUACCCUACUUACAUCUAUACUACAAUUGUCAAAAAGAGGGUUUAAUUUGUGUGCUUAUAUAUUUCGCAUCAGUAUUUCAUACUCGGAUUAAACAUUUGGACACUGACUUCCACUUUGUUCGUGAACGAGUUCAAAAAGGAAACUUGCAGGUUGACUAUAUUUCUACAGAAGCCCAGAUUGCUGAUGUGUUGAGGAAGGGAUUACAUGGUCCAACCUUUCUUCAUCACUGUUGCAAUCUCAAGCUGGGAUUCCCCAGUUGAGAUUAAGGGGGGGUAUUAACCAUAAGAAUGCCAGGUGGCAUAAUCUUUGCUAUGACAUGUGUAAUGAUCCUAUGGUCUUGAUGGUUAUAGUUAGUUACAAGUAUCCUUGGUGGCCAAGUAUUCUAGUCACUAUAUAGUGAGCUAAGUCAUUUUCCAAUGUAAUAAAAACUGCAAUUGAUGUAAUAACAAAGUCUUCUUUUCUUUUCUUUGACCUUUCGCAUUCCUCCCAUCUUUUCAUUUCUGUAUGUUAAGAAAAAUUUGGUUUUUGGUUAAAGUUCCCAAAAAAUAAAUAAAUCUUCUUUGCUGAGCAUUAUAACUACCCUUAGUGGUCACUGUUAUAUAAACACCCCUCGUAUCUUACAUGUAUUUAUCUAAAUUAUGUGGAACAUAUUGUUCUAAACAAUUUAAUUAAACUCAAAUAUGUUGGUGCCUCCUUAUUGAUUAAACAUUGGAUACUUUUCCUUAGGCAAUAUUAAUCAUAUUUACAUUUUCCAUAGGGACAUGUACAUAUCACCUAGCUAGCAUAUAAAUUUCGGAAACUUCACAUAAAAUUUAGAGCUUUGUAUAAUACAAAUGAUGUCACAGGGGUUGACAAAUUAGGAUGCGAAGGUGGACUCACAUAACAUAAUAUCAAAUCAAAUGUAUUUCAAUAAUCCAACAAAUUGGGACAUAAAAUAUUGAUUAACCUUGACAAAUGCCUGUAAACUAUAAAUUAUUGAAGCUGUUGUUAUCUGAGAGUCCUCCAUGCACUUUAUGUAAAGUAACGCGUUAAGACGCUACAAAUGGAAGCAGUUGCUGAGCUCAUUAGACUCAGGUCUC